rnacentral:rRNA from 1 species
GAUGAACGCUGGCGGCGUGCCUAAUACAUGCAAGUCGAGCGAACAGACGAGGAGCUUGCUCCUCUGACGUUAGCGGCGGACGGGUGAGUAACACGUGGAUAACCUACCUAUAAGACUGGGAUAACUUCGGGAAACCGGAUCUAAUACCGGAUAAUAUAUUGAACCGCAGGGUUCAAUAGUGAAAGACGGUUUUGCUGUCACUUAUAGAUGGAUCCGCGCCGCAUUAGCUAGUUGGUAAGGAAAAGGCUUACCAAGGGGGGGAGGCGUGGCCGACCUGAUAGGGGGAUCGGCCGCACUGGAACUUGGCCACGGUCCAGAGUCCUACGGUAGGCAGCAGUAGGCAACCUGCCGCAAUGGGCGGAAGCCUGACGGAGCAACGCCGCGUGAGUGAUGAAGGUCUUCGGAUCGUAAAACUCUGUUAUUAGGGAAGAACAAAUGUGUAAGUAACUAUGCACGUCUUGACGGUACCGAAUCAGAAAGCCACGGCUAACUACGUG